rnacentral:ncRNA from 1 species
ACAUGACGACAGGGGAGCGUCCGUCACGGUAACCACGGCAAGCAGCGGUACCGGGUCGGGACGCUGAGAGUGCGGCCAGCCGCAGACCCUCGAACCUGCUCCGGUUAGUACCGGCGAAGGGAGUCGAGAUCUCAGGGUG